GACGAACGCUGGCGGCGUGCCUAACACAUGCAAGUCGAACGGGAAAGGGAGCUUGCUUUCUUUUCUAGUGGCGGACGGGUGAGUAAUGCGUGAGCAACCUGCCUGUUAGAGGGGGAUAACGUUCGGAAACGAAUGCUAAUACCGCAUAUAGUACAUAAUUCGCAUGAAUAAGUGUAUGAAAGGAGCAAUCCGCUAACAGAUGGGCUCGCGUCCGAUUAGUUAGUUGGUGGGGUAAAGGCCUACCAAGGCAGCGAUCGGUAGCCGGGCUGAGAGGCUGAACGGCCACAUUGGGACUGAGACACGGCCCAGACUCCUACGGGUGGCUG
rnacentral:rRNA from 1 species